rnacentral:rRNA from 1 species
GACAGAGGAUGCAAGCGUUAUCCGGAAUUACUGGGCGUAAAGCGUGCGCAGGCGGUUGUGCAAGACAGAUGUGAAAUCCCCGGGCUUAACCUGGGAAUUGCAUUUGUGACUGCACGGCUAGAGUGUGUCAGAGGGGGGUAGAAUUCCACGUGUAGCAGUGAAAUGCGUAGAUAUGUGGAGGAAUACCGAUGGCGAAGGCAGCCCCCUGGGAUAACACUGACGCCUCAUGCACGAAAGCGUGGGGAGCAAACAGG